AGGAUCGGCCCGCGUUGGAUUAGGUAGUUGGUGGGGUAAUGGYCUACCAAGCCGACGAUYCAUAGCUGGUUUGAGAGGAUGAUCAGCCACACUGGGACUGAGACACGGCCCAGGCUCCUACGGGAGGCAGCAGUGGGGAAUCUUAUACAAUGGGGGAAACCCUGAUCUAGCCAUGCCGCGUGAUCGAUGAAGGCCUUAGGGUUGUAAAGAUCUUUCAGUGGGGAAGAUAAUGACGGUACCCACAGAAGAAGCCCCGGCUAACUUCCGUGCCAGCAGCCGCGGUAAUACGGAGGGGGCUAGCGUUGUUCGGAAUUACUGGGCCGUAAAGCGCACGUAGGCGGACCCGGAAAGUCAGAGGUGAAAUCCCAGGGCUUAACCCUUGGAACUGCCUUUUGAAACU
rnacentral:rRNA from 1 species